rnacentral:lncRNA from 1 species
AAAAAAACUCUCAGAUACAUGGUCACAUUCCAAGUAUUAUUCUACCUUCUUAGAAGCUCAGGUGAAAUUUCAUUUUUACAAGCUCAAAGAGACUCCUCAGUUGCUACAUUAGAGAGGAAACUCAUUAAACUUGAAGUCUAUUACUAUAAUAUGCUAAAAUAGAAGGUGUUGUGUCUGCUUUAAAACAACUUGCAUCAAGCCAAUGUUAGCCAUCGAGUUGAGUUGAUUUGCAGUGGCACAUGGGACGGAGAAGAAGGGGUGAGUGCAAAGAGUUGCCUGGCCGUUCCAUGUCUGAGAAGAGGGGAAGCUGAAAUGAUGCUCCAUCCUUCUGUGGUGAUGUAUUUGAAUGCAGCAAAGUUGUUUGCUGAAGUACGAUGGGGAAUUUAUGUUCCCAUUUGGAGUUUCACCUGAGGCAGAGUGCUACUUCCACACUCACCCCUUUAAGCCAGCAUGAUGCCAGUGACUUCAAGGCUCCCAAGAACAAUCGGACCACAAUGUGGAAAAGACAUCAUGACGUGGAAGAAAAUGGCUGUGCAGAUCACCUCUCCUGUACUAUUACAUGAAAAAAAAAAAAUCAAUGAAGUUUGGGGGUUGAAUAAGAAUAGCCUCAUAGGCUCAUAUGUUUGAAUAUUUGUUCUUCCAUUGAAACUGUUUGGGAAGGAUUUGAAGAUGUGACCUCAAGAUGUUCAGGUGCCAGUCCUGCUGACAUGCCCUGGCCUCGGCCAUCAUGGACUCUAACCCUUUGAAACUGUG